rnacentral:rRNA from 1 species
AAUAGAUACCCCGGUAGUCCACGCCGUAAACGAUGGAUGCUAGCUGUUACGCGUAUCGACCCGUGUAGUAGCGAAGCUAACGCGUUAAGCAUCCCGCCUGGGGAGUACGAACGCAAGUUUAAAACUCAAAGGAAUUGACGGGGACCCGCACAAGCGGUGGAGCGUGUUCUUUAAUUCGAGGCUAAGCGAAGAACCUUACCAGGGCUUGACAUCCUUGGAAUUUCUCCGAAAGGAGAGAGUACUUUAUUGGACCAAGUGACAGGUGCUGCAUGGCCGUCGUCAGCUCGUGUCGUGAGAUGUUUGGUUAAGUUCAUUAACGAGCGCAACCCUUAUGAAUAGUUGUAUUUUUCUAUUCAGACUGCCCCGGUAACGGGGAGGAAGGGGGGGAUGAUGUCAGGUCAGUAUUGCCCUUACGCCCUGGGCUAGAAACGCGCUACAAUGGCCGGUACAAUGCGCUGCCAACCCGCGAGGGGGAGCAAAUCGCAUCAAAGCCGGUCCCAGUUCGGAUAAGAGGCUGAAACUCGCCUCUUUGAGGCCGGAAUCGCUAGUAAUCGU